GACAGAGGUGGCUAGCGUUGUUCGGAUUCAUUGGGUGUAAAGGGUGCGUAGGCGGCCGAGAAAGUUAGAUGUGAAAGCCCACAGCUCAACUGUGGAAAUGCAUCUAAAACUCCUUGGCUCGAGUGCGAGAGAGGUGAAGGGAAUUCCCGGUGUAAGGGUGAAAUCUGCAGAGAUCGGGAGGAACACCAGUAGCGAAGGCGCUUCACUGGCUCGCAACUGACGCUGAGUGCACGAAGGUAUGGGGAGCAAACGGG
rnacentral:misc_RNA from 1 species